rnacentral:rRNA from 1 species
GUGGAUGAGGCAUGCAAGUCGAGCGAAACUAGGAGCUUGCUUCUAGUUUAGUGGCGAAAGGGUUAGUAAUACAUGGGUAACUUGCCUUUAACUUGGGAAUAACGGUUGGAAACGACCGCUAAUACCGAAUGUGGUGAGUCAGGGAAACCUGAUUUCAUUAAAGUGGGGGAUCAGCAAUGACCUUGCGGUUAAAGAGAGGCCCAUGCAAUAUCAGCUAGUUGGAGUGGUAACGGCACACCAAGGCUAAGACGUCUAGGCGGAUUGAGAGAUUG